GUCUUCCGGCGGGUCCGCCCAGUUCCGUUCCUGCUCCGCUUGAGGAGAAGCGCCAAGUGCGCAUGGGGACGCUAUAGCAAUUCGUUUGCUGUCCUUCCUCUCCUUCGAAGAUGACAAGGCCUACCAUCGUUUCUUCCUGCCUUUGGGCCGUCAGGCAGUUGGUUGGGACCCGCUCCAACCCUCGGUCAGUCUAUUAGUCAAGUUCAGCCGUUAUUCUCAGUCAGGCUCCGUCACCACCCUGACCCAGGCGGGCAGUGGCUCCGCGGCUUCCCUGAGCUUUUUGGCCAGGCUUGGCGGUCAGUGUGGCAAGCAGGGCCCUCUUAGGCCCGAUCUGAGGUGAGCGCCUCCCCUGGGAGACGCCAGGCUCCUGGGAUCCGCCCAGCCAAGGCCCACCCUCCAGGAACCCCAGACGCAAUUCUAAUCAUUCUGUUCCGCAGGUAGUCACUCGGUCCCUGGCUUGUGCCAGACUCUGGCUUUGCCUGCGGGGCUACGGAAUAAGCAGAAACAAGACCGUUGUGUGCUGAAGGCACGCACUUUGUUGGGGGAGGAGGCGGCAUAGGAAUAAUGAUCUAAACAGUGCAGUGUAAUUGCUGUAAAAUAUUAUUCCGGCUGGGCGCGUUGACUCACGUCUGUAAUCCCAGCACUUUGGGAGGCCGAGGCAGGUGGAUUACCUGAGGUCAGGAGUUCGAGACCAGCCUGGCCAACAUGGUGAAACCCCGUUUCUACUAAAAAUCAGGCGAGUGUGGUGGUGCGUGCCUGUAAUCCCAGCUACUCAAGAGGCUGAGGCAGGAGAAUUGCAUGAACCCAGGAGGCGGAAGUUGGGGUGAGCCGAGAUUUCGCCAUUGCACUUCAGCCUAGGUGACAGAGCGAGACUCAGUCUCAAAAAGAAAAAAAAAGACCGUAUUUUCUUAUUGUAAAGAGACAGAGAUUCAGCCAUCCCUGCUCAGGAGCAUCAGAGGAAGUUGUAGACAGGAGGUGACUUUUGAGCUGGACCUUGAAAUAAGAGGGGGCGUGCAUGAGGCAAAGAGAAACAGGGCAUUUCUAACAAUGGGAAAAUUAUGCACAGGCAUGUUGGGGAACUGGUUGAGAUGAAUCUAUGUAAAGGCGAACUGGCGCAACAGCUGCUGCCGCUCUUUUUUAUUUUGAUUGAUUAUUACUGAGCUUCCAUGGGGCGGAUUCGAAAGGGUCUCACCAAGCUAAAGGGUUUGGAGUCACCAGAAGUUUUAACUAGGAGAGUGAGGUUAGAUUUGUGUGUAGAAACAGCACCCAGGUCAGCCUGGGCAACGUAAUGAAACCUCGUCUCUACAAUAAGUAGAAAAAUUAGCCAUGUGUGGUAGUGCAUGCCUGUGGUCCCAGGUACUUGGGAGGCUGAGGCAGCAGGAUCACUUGGACCUGAGGGGUCGAGGCUGCAGUCAGCCCUGAUUGCUGCCACUGCACUCCAGUCUGGGCAACAGAGAAGACUGUCUCAAAACAAAAACAACAUUACUCAGGAAUGAAGGAAAUGGAUUGGAAUUGAGAAGACGGGACUAAAGCCAAUUAAUGGGGUAUGGCAAUAGUCUAGUUGGAAGAGGUUAAGGUCAUGCAGUAGGACAUAAUAGGGCUGAAGAAGUAUGGAUGGAAUUGACAAACUUUUAAAGGGUAGAAUUCACAAGAUUUGAUGAACAAAUGCAUGUAAGAGAACAUAUACAAUGCAUUGUAAGGGACUUACUGCUAUAAUUAACCAUUGUAUGUUUCCAAAAUGUAUGUGUAUAAAUAGUCAACAGUGAUAACAGGAUCCAAUCAUGGACAACCAGUUUGAUUGGAUAUAAAUUUUGAAAGAAAGUGUGUGUGUGUUUGUGUGUGUGUAUGUGUGAAUGUGUCUGGGGAAGUUAAGAAAAAUUUUGAGUUUGCCCUAUUGAUGGCAGCCAGCUGCAGCAGGGAGGUGUGACUGGGGCUGCACACUCCAUGGAGCCUGUGGGAGCCCCGCCCCUUCUGAGUUGAGGCAGGAGCCCCUGGUGCCAUUGUGGCUGCCCUCCCAGGUGCAGGACCUGGGCAUCUCUGCAGCCUGCACCCUUGGGGGACCAGCAAGACACCCUACUGCAAUCCCUGCAGGCUCAGGAGUGUCUGUUCCCACCGCCUGGACUCUCUCUACUCCCGGGGCCUGCUCCAAUCUCAGAGCGGGCUUGGGGCCAAGAAUGGCAAUGGGAGGCAGAUUGAUUCCAGGGUAGAAGUGGGUGAGUCCCCAGUAAGACCCCACCUUCAGGUCAGGGAGGGCCUGAAGACAGGGGUCCAGGCUGCCAGUCCUGCAGACUGGAGUAGGGACUCGUGGUGCAUCUUCUGGCCUGCCCAUGGACCAAUCGGCAUGUACUUCCUCCCCUCGGAGGUCCAUAAAAACCCUGGGUUCAGCCAGAGUAGGGCAGAGGACUGCCAGAGGACCAAGAGGGCAGAGACCUAUGGGUCAACAAGCCUAAGAGAGGAGCUACCCUCUCUGCUGAUAGUUGGAGAUGAUGGAACAGCCAGUUGCAAAAAGGACCUACCCUCCCUGCUGACAGCUGCAGAGACAACCUGUGGGCAGAGAAGAGCCACCCUCUCCAGGGCCUCCUCUCUUCUGAGAGCUGCAGACAUUAGGACGAUCAGUUGCAGAGAGGAGCCAUCCUCUCCAGGGCCUCCUCUCUACUGAGAACUGAAUACCUGAUGGACAACCUGCCUACAGAGAGGAAAUACCCACUGGAGGUCUCUGAGCUGUUGUAACACUCAAUAAAGUUCAUCUUUGUCUUGUUCA
rnacentral:lncRNA from 10 species